CGUGCAGUGCGGGUGGCGUCGGCUGUGCAUCACUGCAGAGCUCUGGCAAGAUCAGCCUCGACAAUACAACUUGCAGAAGACGUCAAGGGAAGAAGUCCGAUGUUGUCUGUCCAUGGUGCUGCGUUAUGCAGCGCGCGUCUACGUCAUCGAGCUACGCAUAAAAGUUGGGUUUAAGGGCCUUCGAGAAGAAAGCUAGGGGCGCCAGUCUUCGUCCAAUUGCUGAUGGAGCGCUGCGCCAAUAGCAGUGCCGGAAGCGUCAACCAUAAGGACCGUUGGUGCGCCAGGACUUGUGCGUGCGGGAAGAGCUCCGGCAAGAGGAGCCUCGGCACUACAACUUCGAGAAGACAUCCUUGCUCCUCUUUGAUAUGGCGCAAGUGCACCUAGCAUAAGUGCAUACAUCUGGUGUCGCGUGUGUGGGGAUGUGUUGUGUUGCGUGUAUCUACGUCGUCGAGCUCCGCAAGAAGUUCGGGUAAGUGGUCUGUAAAUUCUUCCCUCGGACUUAGGUCCGCGGCACUGGGACAGCCUCAAGCAACAGUGGGU